GGGUUCGGGAGCAGCUUGCUUCCGGAGGAAAUUUAGAUGGCCGGGCCGCCAUCU
rnacentral:ncRNA from 1 species